GCUAUGUUCAAACAGUCUUUGUUAAAAGGUUAUGGUAUAACCAUCCAAUUCAGAUAUGUAAAAAGUGAAGAUAAUCUUUGUGAUCUUCUUACCAGAGGUUUGUCCUUGUUACACAGAGGUUUGUCCUUGUUAAAGGUUCUCAUUGAUAAGCUGAGGGUAAUUAACAUUAGUUUAUUAAACAAGUUACCAAAAUAGUUCUUUGACGAGCCAACAUGUGGAGAGCGGGGGAGAAUUCGGAAGUCCCUCUGGUCACUUGACUUACCCAAACAUAAAACAACAGAUAUUAUUCACGAACUUAGACAGCGUACCAAACAAUAUUCGUACACUGAUUACUUACGAAAUCCAGAUCACAACAUUCACAAUUGUUACAGUCCUUUAAUGAGUUGUGAAGCAAUUGUCUUUUUUGGCAACGUGGACCAAUGUGACUACCAGAGUUUAGAAAAUUGUGGCCUGAUUAUGCCUUAGGGUGUUUGUCUGAUGCCAGUAAGCAGCUGGUGGCUCCAAGGAGCAGUAGUUAUGCUGCCUUUCAUAUGAAUUCAGAAAUUUCUCCUGAACCAGUUAUUGAUGUACAAAGGUUUUAGUCUUUUCGCUGGGUUUUAAGAGUAAUUACCCUGAGGAAAUGUAGCAAGAACCCUGAAAGUAUUGCAAGGCUUCAUCUUUUAGGUUAGAUGCAAAGGGAAUGCUUCCCCAAUUAGUUAGGUUAUCUUAACUUACCUGAUAGUGAUAAACCCAAGGAAGUCCCUAAUUUAAUAAAUAAUCUAGACUUGUUCUUUGAUGAUACAGGACUAAUCAGGUUUAGGGGACGCAUUGCCAAAUCCCUAAGUGUGAUAUAUGAUGUGCAAAAUCCCAUUCUGUUGAGUAAGGGACAUAAGUUAACUGAACUUCUUGUACAAUUUUUCCACCUUAGAAGUAAACAUCUUGGUCUCCAGUCCACCUUGAACAAUGUUAGAACUGGUGGAUUUGGGAUUCCCAAGAUGAGAUAAGUAAUUAAGAACAUUUAAAUUAAAUGCAUUACCUGUCGCAGAUUCAAUAGUCUUUCCUUCCGUUACCCUAGAAUGAUGAAUUUGCCAAAGCAGAGUAAAUCUGAUUAAGCCCUUCCAACACAGGUGUGGACUUCACUGGUCACCUUUGGGUGAGAGACAAAGAAGGAAAAAAUGCCAAAAUGAAUAUGUUACUGUUCACGUUUAAAUGUCCGUGGUGUGCACAUAGAGUUAGUUCCUGAUAUGUCCACCCUUCAGUUUGUUCUUGCAUUCACUCGAUUCACUAAUGUGUAUGGGAUCCCUUCGCACUUGUAUAGCGACAGUGCCAAGUCAUUUGUUGCUGGUGGAGAAAUAUUGCAAAGAGCUCUUUUGUUGGAUGAGUAUAAGGCAAAUUUUGAGGUUUUUGAUAAACAGCAUGUCAAAAUUCCUGUGUACUCUGCAUGGGUGGGUGCCACAUGGGAGCGGUUGUGAUAUUUUGUGCUGUUGACACUCAUUACUGAUGUUCAAAAUGCAGUAAAUUCUAGGCCAUUAACCUAUCGUUCUUCUGAUAAUGAUUUGGAAACAAUAACCCCUAAUUGUUUUCUGAAAGUCUACUCAAAUUGUAAUGUUAUACUGAUACUCAAUUAAGCUCCCAUAUGGGAGAGUUCCCACUUCUAGGGGUACCCUUUUGGACACGUUGUCAUCUAGAGAUGAGAUAUUGUCUCAUUUUAAGGAGCUUUGGUAUGUCAGCUACUUGUUGAGCUUGAGGGAGUCAUACACAGAUCUACAACAAGUCAAUUGGAAUGACAAGAUUCCUAUUGACGACAUUGUCCUAGUUAAAUUGCUGAAUAAAUCUCGUCCUUUCUGGGUAUUAGGUCGGGUGCUAGAGGUCAUAAAGGGCCACGAUGGCAAGGUUGGAAGUGUCAAACUGAAGAGAGGUGAUGGUGUUGUUGUACACCACUCUAUUAAUCAUUUGUAUCCUCUUGAGCUGUCGCUCACCUAUAAUCCUUGUUUUCAAAAUAGCAAUUUAAAUCAGAUAGAAAACUAUUCUGCUCAUGCCGUUGAUGUACUUGGUGGGCCAGAAAACAAUUCUGCUCAUGACGUUGAUGUACUUGGUGGGCCAAAUGAUACUCGUAGUUCGAAUCAGCCCGAGGACAUGAAGGUUCAUCGUCCUCGUUGUACUGCCGCUGUUGUAGGACGUAACAGAGUUAAGUCAUGGACUCGUGAGCUAAAGUUCUAAUAUGUUAUGAAAGUUCUGUUUUUUAUUUAUUUUUUUUAUUUUUAGUAAGUUGAUUGUGUGUUAGUGUAAGUGUAUAUACAAAAGUUAGUCUGUCAGUGUGCAACUGAGUUGCACUUUUUUUCUGAGGGAGGAUAUAGAAACUGUAAAUAAGUUUGUUAAGUGUAGUCUAUGUUCUUAUCCCUUUUCUCCAUAGUAAUUCAAGUUGAUGUUUUUUUGUAUUCAAAUUUCCCUCCAUAGUUUUCCUUCCAAUAUUAACACGUGAAGUAAGUUACCGCUUGCGAGAGGUGGGAGAACCAGAGAUGCUUCCUGGACAUGGAGACCACCAUACGAGAAAGAAGGUUUAUGCUCCAGAAAUAGUUGCUUUUCAGAGAGAAAAAAUGUAUUGAGAAUUCCCUCUGAUGCAAUGCAAGAAACGGAGUUACGAGCCUAAUAAAGUUAAGCGAAUCUUCAAAGGAUUCUUCAAGCAACAUCAAAAUCUUGAAAUCUACACAAGAGGAGUGCAUGCUGCAUGUUAAGGGCUUGAAAGUAAAAUUGACUAGGUAAAAUCUGAGGUUGAAGAGGUUGAGAGGGCGUCAUCCCAGUUUAAAGAUGAAAUCUUGGAAGCAGUUAGAGAUAGAAAUUUUGAUGAUGACCCUAGAGAAAAUCUAAACCAGCUUUUCCCCACCAUUCUGACUUCUGAAGAGGAAGUUGAACAGUUUGAAAAAAACACUCUGAAAAGCCUUAUAGAAAGUCAAUGGUUACUGAGUGUAUGCAAAUAAAGAUGAGAAAACAGUGAUCCUCUGAUGGGUCAUGUGAUACCUCAUAACAAAAGAAAUUGGUGGGGGAGAAGAAAGAAAAAAUAAGUCUCUUUGAUACAAGACUACAUGAAUUAAUUUGUGGUGUUGCCAUAAGCUUUCUGCCCUAACAAGAUAAGGAAGCUGACAUCGUGACAGAUGACACUAUUUGCACCACAUGGGGAAGGAGGGGAGAAGUUUAAGCCAAGAUCAAAACCAAAGGAGAUCGAGGCCUCUCCAUCCGCCUCUUUUCUGACACCUAAAAUGCUACAUAACCCCAUAAACUUUUUUACAUGCUUGUGACUUGUGCUCCCUCUUCAUGAAUUCUUGUGUAAAUUGAUAGGUAUCUGUAGUACUAUAUACUGCAUUUUAUAAGUUAAGUCAUUUUCUUUAAUUGGUUACAGUACAGUAUAGUGUCCCUUUAUAUAAAUUUAUUUGUCCAACGCCUGUGGAAUAGUUAACAGAUAUUGAAAAAUUAUGUAUUACCCUUGUGGACAAAAUUAUGAAUAAAUUUGUAGACUUUAUAUAGUUUAACAUCUUGGGUAUUUCAAUUAAUUCUUGGUCUUCCUGCCCUCGGAGUGGGAGUAAGGCAUCAUAGAUAAUUAGUUAUUUUUUAGGCUAAGGUAUGCAAUAAUAAGGUUCUACAUGCCAUAUUCAUAUACAAAUUGUCAUUAUGAAAUCUAGUAUUUCCAUUUCUUUUUAUGGAAACAUUUUAAAUAGCUUAUGUUCCGAACUGUGUGGAGUUAUUCAUCAUAUGUUCUUUCCACAUGUCCAUCCCUUGAUCUCAGAUACUGUUCCUUACCCCUCACACCUCUCCCUGACCUAUUCAUAAUUCUUUAGAUUAAACUACCUCCCUUCACAUGUUCCCAAGAACUUCAGCUCAAUCACAUUUGUCAACUUUUUACCCUUCUCAUACAGUCAGACAGUCAUUGGCAUCCCAAACCUUUCUAUUCUUAACUUGCUUAUCUUGACACUUAAGCUCCCAAAACUUUUCUGCUCUUCAUGGAAUAUCGAUCACCUCCUUCAAAAUUGUCAGAAACUAUUUGAAACCUUCUACAACCAAUAUUUUCCUUACUGUACUUCAUAUUAUUUACUCCUAUCUACAGUCCCCCUAUAUUGUUUAUACUAUACACAUUCAAACUUUUCACCAGUGCCUUCACCUUUUCCUUAAAUGUCCCACAGUAAUACAAUUGAAACUCAAACUAAAGCUAUUAAAAAUAAAGCAUUUGUCUCCUGUCCAAUCCCUGUCUUUCUGUGGGGCUGAGUGAGCGUGGUAGACUCAUUCAGUGUUCUUGGAAGUCCCUCUACCUGCCAUGUAGUUGCCACUGUAUGUAUCUCAC